GAGACGACUCCAUGUUUUUCUUUCAGUCUAUGAAUGAAUAUAACGUCGCCCGGUUGGAAUAUUAUCGCUAUUUUACGAGAAAAAUAGCAUAAAAAUUUAUUUUAAACAGCGUUUGACAUGCUUCGAAGUACGGUAAUGGAAUAUUUUGAUUUUUUUUGUCACGAAAUGCACCGGCGCGUCACCCUUCGGAUAGUGACCUCAACGCAUGAACAAAACGGAGCUAUUUCAAUAUAACUAUGGAUUAUUUCGAACCAAAACAACAUUUGUUGUUGAAGUAAAAGUCCUGGGAGUGCAUUCUGACAAAGAACAGGAAAGAAGUGCCUUCUGAUAAAGAUAAUCAAAGGCUGGUGUUUCCUGGUCCCCUGGCUGAUGCUGUCCCCCAUGACACCCUCCGCCACCCUUGGACAAUGAGGGAAGCCCCACCUAUGCCAUCAGAUCUCUCCUGGACCCCCAACAUUGUUGGGGUCGGCUACAGUACCUGGUGGACUGGGAGAGGUACGGUCCAGAGGAGCGGUGUUGGGUCCGGUGGAUGACAUUCUAGAUCCCAACAUCAUCCGAGAUUUCCACCUUCGCCAUCCGGACCGGCCCACUCCUCGCCCUCAGGGCUGUCCUGUGGCUGGAGCCUCACGUCAGGGGGUGUACUGCCAUGUCUAAUCCCGCUCCACCACUCCGGUGCGCAAUGUUGGUGGUUUACUAACCACAGUUCCUGGGAACCCAUCAUUACACACAUCUGGCAACCAUCAUUACGCACAACUGCGUCACAUCAUUAGGCACACCUAUACUUUAUCAAUACCCUGAUUAACCCCCUUUAUUUAGCCCUCAGUUGUCAUCAGUCCGUAGGUGUUAUUGGUUCUCUCACAUUCAGUACGCUUCCCAUGUUUGUUCUUUUGUAUCUGUUCAGUAUUAAACUCAAUUUCUGCACCUACUUUCUGACUCCUGGCGUAUACGCUACAAUCACGGUGGCAAGGCAUAUGAACUAACAGGAUGUAUAGACCAAACAACGCAAUUUUGACAACAUAUGGGUUGUAAUAUGACAAUUUUUUCCUGAUAGGGCUUCUCCAUUAAUUUUACC
rnacentral:lncRNA from 1 species